GACGAACGCUGGCGGCGUGCUUAACACAUGCAAGUCGAACGGAAAGGCCCUGCUUUUGUGGGGUGCUCUAGUGGCGAACGGGUGAGUAACACGUGAGUAACCUGCCCUUGACUUUGGGAUAACUUCAGGAAACUGGGGCUAAUACCGGAUAGGAGCUCCUGCUGCAUGGUGGGGGUUGGAAAGUUUCGGCGGUUGGGGAUGGACUUGCGGCUUAUCAGCUUGUUGGUGGGGUAGUGGCUUACCAAGGCUUUGACGGGUAGCCGGCCUGAGAGGGUGACCGGCCACAUUGGGACUGAGAUACGGCCCAGACUCCUACGGGAGGCAGCAGUGGGGAAUAUUGCACAAUGGGCGGAAGCCUGAUGCAGCAACGCCGCGUGCGGGAUGACGGCCUUCGGGUUGUAAACCGCUUUCGCCUGUGACGAAGCGUGAGUGACGGUAAUGGGUAAAGAAGCACCGGCUAACUACGUG
rnacentral:rRNA from 1 species